GCGGGCGUGGCGGAAUUGGUAGACGCACUGGAUUUAGGUUCCAGCGCCGCAAGGCGUGGAGGUUCGAGUCCUCUCGCCCGCACCA
rnacentral:tRNA from 1 species